GACGAACCGUCCGAACGUUAUUCGGAAUCACUGGGCUUAAAGGGUGCGUAGGCGGCGCGGAAAGUUGGGUGUGAAAUCCCUCGGCUCAACCGAGGAACUGCGCCCAAUACUACCGUGCUCGAGGGAGAUAGAGGUGAGCGGAACUUAGGGUGGAGCGGUGAAAUGCGUUGAUAUCCUAAGGAACACCGGUGGCGAAGGCGGCCUGCUGGGCAGUUGCUGACGCUGAGGCGCGACAGCGUGGGGAGCAAACAGG
rnacentral:rRNA from 1 species